rnacentral:rRNA from 1 species
UACGUAGGGGGCGAGCGUUAAUCGGAAUUACUGGGCGUGACGCGUGCGCAGGCGGCUCUUCAAGUCAGUUGUGAAAGCCCCGGGCUUAACCUGGGAAUGGCGUUUGAAACUGGAGGGCUGGAGUGUGGCAGAGGGAGGUGGAAUUCCACGCGUAGCAGUGAAAUGCGUAGAGAUGUGGAGGAACACCGAUUGCGAAGGCAGCCUCCUGGGCCAACACUGACGCUCAUGCACGAAAGCGUGGGGAGCAAACAGG